rnacentral:rRNA from 1 species
UACGUAGAGGGCAAGCGUUGUCCGGAAUCAUUGGGCGUAAAGAGCGUGUAGGCGGCCCGGUAAGUCCGCUGUGAAAGUCCAGGGCUCAACCCUGGGAUGCCGGUGGAUACUGUCGGGCUCGAGUCCGGAAGAGGAGUGUGGAAUUCCUGGUGUAGCGGUGAAAUGCGCAGAUAUCAGGAAGAACACCCGUGGCGAAGGCGGCUCUCUGGGACGGUACUGACGCUGAGAAGCGAAAGCGUGGGGAGCAAACAGG